GAUGUGGAGCCAUGAGAGAAGCACAGUGAGGCAGCUGCUGCAUAGCCUGGACAUUUACACGCUUCAGGGUCAGAAACCGAACAAAUCUGACGUCUCAAAGACCCGCUUCCAAAUAAAACACCAAGUUUAGACAUUCUGGAGCUCUUGAGGAAACCCAAGAUUACAAUUUUAGUUUGAAGAAAUGAAGUGAAAUGUGAGUGAGAGCCGGAGUAAAGGUUGCUGUCGAUCCUCAGCCCGACACCAUGCAGCAGAGUCCGGGGAAGCGCCUCUUCCUCUGCCGGACCAGCGGCUGGGGAGUCAGGUUCAACAAGCUGCUGUCGUCUGAAACGGAAACACGUUGGGAUGAGUCGCAUGGUAGAACGGAAAA